UACGGAGGGUGCAAGCGUUAAUCGGAAUUACUGGGCGUAAAGCGUGCGUAGGCGGUUCGUUAAGUCUGUUGUGAAAGCCCCGGGCUCAACCUGGGAACUGCAUUUGUGACUGUAGAGCUGGAGUGCGGCAGAGGGGGAUGGAAUUCCGCGUGUAGCAGUGAAAUGCGUAGAUAUGCGGAGGAACACCGAUGGCGAAGGCAAUCCCCUGGGCCUGCACUGACGCUCAUGCACGAAAGCGUGGGGAGCAAACAGG
rnacentral:rRNA from 1 species